UAAAGGGGAGCACUAAAGUUGAAGAUGAGGCACUGCCAUCAAUGCUGUGGGGUUUCAGGCCAAGAACAGGAGCUGAGGAAGCCACAAGGGAGGGCAUUUUCUGCAGAGUUGCUGAACGAGUAACAACCUGGUCCUGAGAGAGCUCUUGUGGAAGAAUAAGAGCCAAGUGGGAAAGCUUUUCAUCCUGCAAAGCUGUGGCAGAAGGUUCUUCCUUGAAUGUGGUCAUGUGCACUUCAGCUCAGGAGUCCAGCGCAGGAGUCCUGCAGAGACAGAGGAAAUUGUUUUCAGACCUGGCUUUACUAAAAGCUUCUUUUCCCUGCUUUCAACGACUCAGAUGAGAGCACUGCAGGAAGAAGAAAAACAAGUUCCUAGAUCUCCCUGAGCCAAUGAUCCAGCAGAGGACAGGCCUUUUCUAAGUGGAGAGGAGGAGUUUUGGUGUAAAUUGCCUGAUCAGAAAUCUGGAUCCAAAGUCUUUCCUAUUAUUUCUGUCUCAUGCCUUAUCACCUCUGCCAUCAUUCUAGGGAAACUGAAUCUCUUUCUGAAAGAGGAUUAAAAGGUAUUACCUGUUGGCUGAAGUCCAGAGUGUCCUGGGAAAAAGAGGAAAAGAUAUACACUUAAAAGAUAUGGAAGCAAAUCUGUCUUCCAACACAAUGUCCCAGCCCCAGAUCUCCCACCUGAGAUUUCUCUAACACCACAACCCACACCAACCACGACAGAGAAGAGCAGAAACAGACCAUGUGACCCAUGAAGUGUGAAGUGUCUGUCACAGGAUCCAGUGUAAUUGCAUUAGCCUUAGUGGCUCUUCCUUAAUUUGCUCCAGGAUCUCGAACCAAAGGAUCCCUACUUGUUAACCUUUCUCUUAUCUCUGCAGGCCACAAGCUAUUAUGUUUUGACGUAGUAACCAUGCACUGAUGAUUUCUGGAUUAUCAGGACAUUGGAG
rnacentral:lncRNA from 1 species